rfam:Trichobilharzia regenti genome assembly, scaffold: TRE_scaffold0008865
GUACUGCCGAAGAGUCCCGAACUAGGAUGAAACAGCUGUCCAGUAU